UAAAAAAUAAGCUAAAUUUAAGCUUUUAGGUUCAUACCCUAAUCAUAAAGAUUAAUCUUUUUUUUUAA
rnacentral:tRNA from 1 species